UACAGAGGUCUCAACCGUUGUUCGGAUUCAUUGGGCGUAAAGGGUGCGUAGGCGGUCGGGUAAGUCGGAUGUGAAAUCCCAGGGCUCAACCCUGGAACUGCAUUCGAUACUGCCUGGCUAGGGUACUGGAGAGGAGACUGGAAUUUACGGUGUAGCAGUGAAAUGCGUAGAUAUCGUAAGGAAGACCAGUGGCGAAGGCGGCUCGCUGGGCCAUUGCUGACGCUGAGGCGCGAAAGCGUGGGGAGCGAACAGG
rnacentral:rRNA from 1 species